rnacentral:piRNA from 1 species
UACAAGACCAUGGUUUCUUUAAGCUUUUGU